CCUACGGGAGGCAGCAGUGGGGAAUAUUGCGCAAUGGGCGAAAGCCUGACGCAGCGACGCCGCGUGAGGGAUGAAGGUCUUCGGAUCGUAAACCUCUGUCAGCAGGGAAGAACGGUCACUGUGCUAAUCAGCAGUGAAUUGACGGUACCUGCAAAGGAAGCACCGGCUAACUCCGUGCCAGCAGCCGCGGUAAUACGGAGGGUGCGAGCGUUAAUCGGAAUUACUGGGCGUAAAGCGCUCGUAGGCGGUAUGUCAAGUCAAGGGUGAAGUCCCCGCGCUCAACGUGGGAACUGCCUUUGAAACUGGGAAACUGGAGUGUGUGAGAGGAUAGUGGAAUUCCAGGUGUAGGAGUGAAAUCCGUAGAUAUCUGGAGGAACAUCAGUGGCGAAGGCGACUAUCUGGCACAUAACUGACGCUGAGGAGCGAAAGCGUGGGUAGCAAACAGGAUUAGAUACCCUAGUAGUC
rnacentral:rRNA from 1 species